AGAGUUUGAUCCUGGCUCAGAUUGAACGCUGGCGGCAUGCCUUACACAUGCAAGUCGAACGGCAGCACGGGAGCAAUCCUGGUGGCGAGUGGCGAACGGGUGAGUAAUAUAUCGGAACGUGCCCAGUAGUGGGGGAUAGCCCGGCGAAAGCCGGAUUAAUACCGCAUGAGACCUGAGGGUGAAAGCGGGGGAUCGCAAGACCUCGCGCUAUUGGAGCGGCCGAUAUCAGAUUAGCUAGUUGGUGGGGUAAAGGCCUACCAAGGCAACGAUCUGUAGUUGGUCUGAGAGGACGACCAGCCACACUGGGACUGAGACACGGCCCAGACUCCUACGGGAGGCAGCAGUGGGGAAUUUUGGACAAUGG
rnacentral:rRNA from 1 species